UGAGUUCUGUGAAGAAUAGAGGUUGACUCAAAUAUGAAUUUUAAAGGUAUGUUCGAGGCCUGUGAGAAUCCACUUGAUCUUGUCAUCUCAAUGAAAGAAAACAGCCACAGCAACAAUGGCCUCACUUCCACUUCUCUCAGCCAACAAGCAUAACUACUUAAUCUACUUAUUAUUGAAACUGACAUUUCAUAAUGAAAGAAGGGAAUCCUACAAUUACAUCCCUGAGGUUACUAAUAAAUAUUAUUCCUAU